GGAUUAGAUACCCUGGUAGUCCACGCAGUAAACGAUGAUCACUAGCUGUUUGCGAUACACUGUAAGCGGCACAGCGAAAGCGUUAAGUGAUCCACCUGGGGAGUACGCCGGCAACGGUGAAACUCAAAGGAAUUGACGGGGGCCCGCACAAGCGGAGGAACAUGUGGUUUAAUUCGAUGAUACGCGAGGAACCUUACCCGGGUUUGAACGCAUUCGGACCGAGGUGGAAACACCUUUUCUAGCAAUAGCCGUUUGCGAGGUGCUGCAUGGUUGUCGUCAGCUCGUGCCGUGAGGUGUCGGCUUAAGUGCCAUAACGAGCGCAACCCUUGCCACUAGUUACUAACAGGUGAUGCUGAGGACUCUGGUGGGACUGCCAGCGUAAGCUGCGAGGAAGGCGGGGAUGACGUCAAAUCAGCACGGCCCUUACAUCCGGGGCGACACACGUGUUACAAUGGCGUGGACAAAGGGAAGCCACCUGGCGACAGGGAGCGAAUCCCCAAACCACGUCUCAGUUCGGAUCGAAGUCUGCAACCCGACUUCGUGAAGCUGGAUUCGCUAGUAAUCGCGCAUCAGCCAUGGCGCGGUGAAUACGUUCCCGGGCCUUGUACACACCGCCCGUCAAGCCAUGGGAGCCGGGGGUACCUGAAGUACGUAACCGCAAGGAGCGUCCUAGGGUAAAACUGGUGACUGGGGCUAAGUCGUAACAAGGUAGCCGUACCGGAAGGUGCGGCUG
rnacentral:rRNA from 1 species